ensembl:lncRNA
AUGCCGCCCCUAAAACACCAUGGAGGACUACGACGUGUUCGUGCAGCGCAGCUUGUCCCGGCUGAGGAGGAGCAGGCAGGACCAGGAGGAGGUCCGGAGCGCCGCGGCUCCAUCCUCCGUCAUCCGCUUCUGCGGUCGAGCCAUCCUGCCCCCGCUGGUAAGACGGCGCUGUCAGACACACGGACAGAGCGUGGCUGUCCCCUCGCUGAUCUCGUGUUGUGUUCGCAGUUGUCUGAAGAACAGAGGCAGCAGAUGCAGGCGCGCAGAGAGGAAGCUGGCAGAGCUGCAGCCCGCAUGGAGCUGGAGAAGCAUCCCAGGAUGAGGCAUGUCCAGACGCUUUUACGCAGCGUUCAGCUGAGGAAGACUCCAACGCUGGAAGAGCUGCUUCAGGAGUGUGAAGUUACGACCAAAUGUUCUCCUGGUUUUCCUCCUCCUCAGAGCAGCUCCUCAGACUCCCACAGUGAGGCUUCAUCUGGGAGCAAGCAUGGUCCUUCCCCAGAAUCUGCAGAGGAGUUGGAGAGUGGUUCUCCUUCUCCUCUGUCUCCCAUUUGUGCCUUUCCCACUCCCGACAAGCAAACCUGCUUUGAGGGUGGCAAAGCGGAUAGCCCCCACCAACCCGAGCCGCGCUCCCCCAGCGGUGGACAGUCAUCUUUCUCAGGGUACAUGAACUAUAAGAAGGUAGAAAUCUCUGUUUGCAGCCAGAUGGACCAACAUUCAUGCACCUUCAGCUCUUCUGGAGAAGCUAGCGGCGUGGGAGGGGGCUUCCUGCACAGCACCUCUAAUACAAUAGCCAUUCGUCCAGAUAUUAUCAGCCAUCCUCCCGUGGAUGGGGAGGAACUAGAGAGGAGUGGGCUGGAGUGGUCUGCUUGUGGAGCCUCCUCUCUCUGGGACUGUCUGCCAUCGGAGGAGUCUGGAAGUGUGGAGCAAACGGACGACGGUUCCUGCUCCGCGGUGCUUCAGUCCAAGGACGGAAAUGCGGAUGAGGGUUCGGUCGCUGAAGGAAGAAACGCGGCCGAAACUGAACCAGGAGACGGGAGAAGAUCGUCCGAAGAGAGGCCUCAUCCUCGGAGCCUCAAAGACUUGCUGAAGAAAUCCCAGGAGUAUCGGCGGCACCAGCGGAUGCUGAGGAACCAGUCCAGAAACAUCAAAACCCUGGAGGGGACCCAAGAGCUGCUGAGAACGCCAGCAGAAGAGCAGAGCCUCUCUGAUAAGGAGAAUGAUGAGCUCGUCUUUGGGAACAUGAAGGCUGCAGACUGGAGCAGAACCAAAGUGCAGGGAGGAACCCCGUCAGUGGGAACGUCACGGAAACCCAGGGAGCACUUUGAGAGAAUCCAGAGUGAAAUCUCUGGGAACAACACCAGUAUUGAAAUCCAGAGCUCUCCUGUAACCAGAAACGCAUCAGAGCUUGAUCUGGUUUCAAAAACAACCCUGAGAAAUAAGCUAAACUCUUCUCAGGAGUUCAUCAUCCCAGCCGACACCUCCCCUUUUUCCAAAGGAGCAGCUACGGUUCCGGCGCCCAGCCUCUGCUGCAGUCCCAGUCGGCUCAAAGACAGCUGCAUCAAACGUCCACAACCCACCGAAGGAGCGGAGACCUCCGAGGAGGAGCCAGGAGUUCAAUUCAUCGAGGCUCCUGCGGGCGCAGAGGAGGUGAGAGCAGUGUCAGCCCAAAGUUCAGGGCACAUCGAGCGCCUGGAGACCAGCCUGAUCUCAGAUCUGGAGUCUACGGCGAAGGAAAGUCUGGAACAAACUGAGAGGAACCAGAACUGCUGCUCAGACUGCAGUGGCACACAACGCAGAGACGGCCGGCAGCAGACACGGAUCCCCGUCUUAUUCCGAAACGCAGCUCCACGGGGAGUCUCUGUGCCGGCCGCAGGAGGAGGUCUCCCCGCCACAAAAUCCCCGUCUCUCAAUCAGUCGUUUGACGUGGAAAAGCCAUCCGGCCUCUGGCUCCAGAGUUUUGUCGGUCAGGCGGCACAUCUGACCCCAGAGAACGGGGGCGAGGAUCCGGCGGGGAAGUCGAGGGUCAAACGACGACUGGUGAUGCACGUGACCGAGCAGACGCCGGAGAGGAGGGCGGGCCCUGUCGUCAGACCCACCUCCAGCACUCCCACAGCUACGCCGUCCUGGUCUGACGACCGAACGCCGGACCGGCUUGAAAGGAGUCCACCGCCCCGCCUCAGAGCCUCUGCAGUGAGGCGGGGCGGGGCGCGAUGCUUCUCCUGAUCCUUGACAGACGGGAAACGCUGCUGCUCGCCGUCUCAGACCAGCUUCUCCUGCAGUGGGGAGGUGUUCUCAGCAGAGAGGUCAGGAACUCUGCAGCUCAGUCUGCCUCCUGCUGAACUUACCCGAGAUCUUCGCCGUGACGCCUCUAAACGUUGAUUGAUGUCCGUAGCUAAAAAAAGAUUAGAAUUCUCUGUUAUUGCUGCACAAAACAUCUUCAGCUCAAAUGUUCUCCAGAGGAGAAAACGGUGGAGCUUUGUGAAUGAAGAAAUCCCACCAGUUUUACUGAAAAUCGUUUAAAAAAAAUUCAACAAAUGAAUCGCAAUGAAUUAAUUAUUUUUUUAUUACAGUAUUUGCUGUACUGUACUGUAUUUGCACUUAUUAUCUGCGAAUGAUCACAAUAUGAAAUCACACAAAACUUUACAUUUUAGAUGUUUAUUUUUUUGUAAAUGUUGUCAAUCUAUUAAAAAAAUAUAAUCAGAUUAAUCACUUUUGUGUUGUGAUUAAUCACUAUAAAACAAUGUUUUACUAGGUAAAUUUUAUAUGACAAUAUGCUGAUUUUUUUAACAAAAACAGGUCAGAGAGAAAUGUUUUCUUUCAUUUUUAUUGUCAGAAACGUUUGCAUUUAUCAAUUGUUAACCCAGAAGUGUAAAUUGUGUACAAAACACAUCAACAGUA